rnacentral:rRNA from 1 species
GACGAACGCUGGCGGCGUGCUUAACACAUGCAAGUCGAACGGAAAGGCCCUGCUUUUGUGGGGUGCUCGAGUGGCGAACGGGUGAGUAACACGUGAGUAACCUGCCCUUGACUUUGUGAUAACUCCAGGAAACUGGGGCGAAUACCGGAUAGGAGCUCCUGCUGCAUGGUGUGCGUUGGAAAGUUUCGGCGGUUGGGGAUGGACUCGCGGGUUAUCAGCUUGUUGGUGGGGUAGUGGCUUACCAAGGCUUUGACGGGUAGCCGGCCUGAGAGGGUGACCGGCGACAUUGGGACUGAGAGACGGCCCAGAAUCCUACGGGCGGCAGCAGUGGGGAGUAUUGCACAGUGGGCGGAAGCGUGAUGCAGCAACGUCGCGUGCGGGAUGACGGCUUUCGGGUUGUAAACCGCUUUCGACUGUGACGAAGCGUGAGUGACGGUAAUGGGUAAAGAAGCACCGGCUAACUACGUG